rnacentral:rRNA from 1 species
CCUACGGGAGGCAGCAGUGGGGAAUAUUGGACAAUGGGGGCAACCCUGAUCCAGCCAUGCCGCGUGUGUGAAGAAGGCCCUCGGGUUGUAAAGCACUUUCAGUGAGGAAGAACGCCUGGUGGUUAAUACCCAUCAGGAAAGACAUCACUCACAGAAGAAGCACCGGCUAACUCCGUGCCAGCAGCCGCGGUAAUACGGAGGGUGCGAGCGUUAAUCGGAAUUACUGGGCGUAAAGCGCGCGUAGGUGGCUUGAUAAGCCGGUUGUGAAAGCCCCGGGCUCAACCUGGGAACGGCAUCCGGAACUGUCAAGCUAGAGUGCAGGAGAGGAAGGUAGAAUUCCCGGUGUAGCGGUGAAAUGCGUAGAGAUCGGGAGGAAUACCAGUGGCGAAGGCGGCCUUCUGGACUGACACUGACACUGAGGUGCGAAAGCGUGGGUAGCAAACAGGAUUAGAUACCCUGGUAC